GCCGGGCGCGGUGGCCCAUGCCUGUCAUCCCAGCGGCUCUGGAGGCUGAGGCAGGAGGAUCACGAGUUCAAAGCCAGCCUCAGCCAAAGGGAGGCCCUAAGCAACUCAGGGAGACCCUGUCUCUC
rnacentral:sRNA from 1 species